CGCGUAGGCGGCGCCGGAAGUCAGAUGUGAAAGCCCCGGGCUCAACCUGGGAAUUGCAUUUGCUACUCCGGUGCUGGAGUUCGGGAGAGGAGAGUGGAAUUCCCAGUGUAGAGGUGAAAUUCGUAGAUAUUGGGAAGAACACCGGUGGCGAAGGCGGCUCUCUGGACCGAAACUGACGCUGAGGCGCGAAAGCGUGGGGAGCAAACAGGAUUAGAUACCCUGGUAGUCCACGCUGUAAACGAUGUGUGCCAGACGUUGGGGGACCUAGUCUCUCGGUGUCGUCGCUAACGCUUUAAGCACACCGCCUGGGGAGUACGGCCGCAAGGUUAAA
rnacentral:rRNA from 1 species